CUGGCUUCGAGGGGUUCACAGUGCUAGUGGAGAGACAGGAUAUACACCUGGCUUUGAGGGGUUCACAGUGCUAGUGAGGGAGACAAACCUGGGAGUAACCUCACCACCCACAGUUAAAGGUGACAGAGGUACUAACAAGUGCAAUGGGAUCUUAGCAGAGCAAUGGAUAACUUGGCCUCCAGGAGUCACGGAGGGCGUCACAGAGGAGGUGGCAUCUGAGGGCAUUUUGGGGAACUUGUUCAGCAGGUGGAAAAGAAUGGGAGGGCUCAGCUUCAGCUCUACCAUUCCAUGGGUUUGUUCUAAUUUUCUUCUUUGCCUUCAUUCUUCUCUGCCUCCCAUUUGCUUCUCUGGCUGUUCAGUUGUUCUCCCUGAAGCCCUACAGAGAAAAGGCAUUUGGAAAAAACACCCUAAAGCUGUUAUAUGCUCCGCAUCCCAUUGCCUCCCUGCACCCCGUCAUCAAGUCAAAUGUGGGCCAGCUGUGGAUGUGGGAGGUUCCCAAGAUGUUGCAGAUCCUGGAGGAUCUUAGGAAGUUCCUGUCGCUCUCUGAGCUGGAUAGUAGAACAAAGCUGCUUCUCACCUGCUACUGGAGCAUGCUCUGCCUGCCCCCGUCAGAGGUGAUGCAGAAGGAGGAGUCCAGAUCCACAGAGGGACAGGCCAGUGUGGUAAAGAGCUCUUUGAAGGCUGUCAACUGUUGUUGUUUUUGAGAGGGUGGGAGGCUGUAGGCUUGGAAGUUUUAUGUAAGGCCCUCUUGUCAUCUCUAAGAAAAACAAAAAGGAAGGCCUCAUCAGAGGAAGGGCUGCUAGGUGAGGCAGCCUCUCCUCCACCCAGGAGAUUAUCAUUCUUCCACGGGGCACUCAUUGAUGAUCACUGUGCCCCUGGAAUAUCUGGCCCAAAGGUGGACACUGACUCCCUCC
rnacentral:lncRNA from 1 species